rnacentral:misc_RNA from 1 species
AAGACUAUAGACCUGCGGAGUACCUGCGGAAGGAUCAUUAUAGAAUGAAAUGGGCUGCUGCUGGCUUCUUGAAGCAUGUGCACGUCCACUACAUUUCUCAAAUUCUCCCGUGCACUUUGUGUAGACCUUGAAAGAAACGUAUGCUGACCCUUGGUUCCAUUGGUUUUGCGUAUACUUUCGAGGUUCUAUGUCUUUUAACACCCACCUGCAUGUGACUGUUUGAAACUGGCGUUCAUUCAG